CAGUGUGGCGGAUAGAAUCGUGGCGGUUACCGAUGUUCCCAAGUUCGCAGCUGCGUCAUUGCUGCAGGUUGCAUCACGUCGUGCAACGAUCGGCGUCUUGGUGGUGGUUGGUUAGGCCGACGCCAUUAUUUUCGAAGCAGUUUGUCAGUUGGCUGUGAUACAUUAAUUGUGACAUCGCUUGCGUUGUAGAAGGCCUGUGUCUAGACUGAUGGGCAGUAUGGACGCAUCGUUUACGUCGUACAACUUUCGCAAGAAGCAACAACUUUGUCAGUACAACUUUGUCAGUCGGGGCAUCCGUGGACAGUUGACAUCCGCCGAUCAGCCAUGAAAAUGCCGACUUAACUGGUGACACUUCGUCCUCCGACUACACUGGGGGGAACAAAGUGAUCUGAAUAUUUCGGUGACCCCGGUCCCUCAAGCUCAAUUGAAGAAGUCCUUAUGUGUUGAAGUACCUCACCCACUAUACAGUGCCCUUCAAGUUCAUCAGACGUUGGUGCUCCUGGUACAGUAUUGCUACCUGCUCUAAAACUGAUUCGUUGUAUUAGCAAGGGAACGGCAUGUUGAGGCACGAAAUUUUUCACCUUAAUUUCUGUUGUUGUUGUAUCUAAUUUGCCAUCUGGGCAGUGCAUUUUGAUUGAAGCAAAAAAAGAAAAAUGUUCUUUUGCAUUGCACAUGUGUUCAACAAGAUCACCUGCAACCUCGAAGUAUUGGUGCUGUACAUGAUCUUUGUGUGUUGUGCACUCUCAAAAAUGAACUUCACCGCAUAGCACGCUUCUAGCCAACCAUCAACUCGAAUGA